GCAGUUGGAGAAAAAGACUGGCAGGAUCUGCAGGGUGAUCAGCAAGUCUACGCUGAGGAGUCCCAUCUUCUCUGCCUCCUCGAUGCCUCUUGUGAGGAUGACAGCUGUCCAGAUACUGGAUUUCUGCCACCAUCUCAUUUCAAAGAGGCCACCAAACAGCUGUUAGGAGGCAAGAGUGUCCAUUUGCUACUGACCAGAGAAUUAUUCACCUCUGAAAAUAUCCAAAUUGUGGGAAUGUUAUGAACCAGGACUUCACAAAGAACAGAGCAGAAUACUGUCUCAUCAUGACGUGUGCACACUCCUCCAGGAUACAGAGGUCUCAGGAUGGACGAUUUGAACUCACCCUCUUCGUCUUAGCUGAUCAUCUCUGAGAGAACAUAACCUUUGGCCCAUAUGGAACCCUGGAAGAUUUCAAGUGAGGAGUGCCUUUUUUAUCAGCCAUCGGUAACGUGCUGAACCCAGGGCACUGUGACUGUCAUGGUCUACGAGCUGCAGAUAGACUCUCGGGUCAACUGUCCAAAGCCUUGCUACUCUAAAGGAAGAGCCAACCAGCCUGUGAAUCACCAAAGGCAAAGCAAAAAA
rnacentral:lncRNA from 1 species